rnacentral:rRNA from 1 species
UACGGGGGGGGCAAGCGUUGUUCGGAAUUACUGGGCGUAAAGGGCGCGUAGGCGGCUUCUUAAGUCAGGGGUGAAAUCCUGGAGCUCAACUCCAGAACUGCCUUUGAUACUGAGGAGCUUGAGUCCGGGAGAGGUGAGUGGAACUGCGAGUGUAGAGGUGAAAUUCGUAGAUAUUCGCAAGAACACCAGUGGCGAAGGCGGCUCACUGGCCCGGUACUGACGCUGAGGUGCGAAAGCGUGGGGAGCAAACAGG